rnacentral:rRNA from 1 species
UACGAAGGGUGCAAGCGUUAAUCGGAAUUACUGGGCGUAAAGCGUGCGUAGACGGUUUGAUCAGUCAGCUGUGAAAUCCCCGGGCUCAACCUGGGAGCUGCAGCUGAUACUGUUGAGCUUGGAGUCUGAGAGAGGAUGGUGGAAUUCCUGGUGUAGCGGUGAAAUGCGUAGAGAUCAGGAGGAACACUAGUGGCGAAGGCGGCCAUCUGGCUUAAGACUGACGUUGAGGCACGAAAGCGUGGGGAGCAAACAGG